rnacentral:rRNA from 1 species
AUGGGUUCUGUUGGCACUGGAUUGCUGAAGGGCUUGAGGAGAGUCUUAGAGAAGCAAAGGAAACCAGUUGAUUUAUGCAGAACAUCACGAGCUUGGAGUUCUACAGUUUCUUUCUCCGAUAUUGAUGAGAAGGAUGACAUGGGUGAUGAUAGCGAUUUGAAAGAUUCAAGGAGAGAGUUAGAACCCCAAAGCGUGGACCCCAAGAAGGGCUGGGGAUUCCGUGGCGUUCAUAGGGCUAUAAUAUGUGGUAAAGUUGGACAAGCACCCGUGCAGAAAAUUUUACGUAAUGGGCGGACGAUUACUAUAUUUACUAUUGGAACUGGUGGCAUGUUUGACCAGCGGGUAAUUGGGUCUGCGGAUACACCAAAGCCGGCUCAGUGGCAUCGAAUAGCUGUUCAUAGCGAGCAUCUAGGUGCUUAUGCUGUUCAGAAGUUGGUGAAAAACUCUGCGGUAUAUAUCGAGGGUGAAAUCGAAACCAGGGUCUACAAUGACGGCAUUGAUGGUCAAGUCAGGAAUAUACCGGAGAUCUGUAUUAGGGGUGAUGGUAAGAUUCGACUGGUUAAAUCUGGGGAGAGUGCUGCUAGCAUAUCACUAGAUGAGCUGAGAGACGGAUUGUUCUAG